GACGAACGCUGGCGGCGUGCUUAACACAUGCAAGUCGAACGGUAAGGCCCUUCGGGGUACACGAGUGGCGAACGGGUGAGUAACACGUGGGUGAUCUGCCCUGCACUUCGGGAUAAGCCUGGGGAACUGGGUCUAAUACCGGAUAGGACCACUGCCUGCAUGGGUGGUGGUGGAAAGCUUUCGCGGUGUGGGAUGGGCCCGCGGCCUAUCAGCUUGUUGGUGGGGUGAUGGCCUACCAAGGCGACGACGGGUAGCCGGCCUGAGAGGGUGACCGGCCACACUGGGACUGAGAUACGGCCCAGACUCCUACGGGAGGCAGCAGUGGGGAAUAUUGCACAAUGGGCGCAAGCCUGAUGCAGCGACGCCGCGUGAGGGAUGACGGCCUUCGGGUUGUAAACCUCUUUCAGCAUCGACGAAGCGAAAGUGACGGUAGGUGGAGAAGAAGGACCGGCCAACUACGUGCCAGCCGCCGCUGUAA
rnacentral:rRNA from 1 species